AGCAUGAAGCCCCCCUCGAGAUGAGAUUUCCCAACUUCGGUUAUAAGAUCCCUCAAAGAUGAUGAGGUGAAUAGGUUCGAGGUGGAAGCGUAGCGAUACGUGGAGCUGACGAAUACUAAUCGAUCGAAGACUUAAUCAACAU
rnacentral:rRNA from 1 species